rnacentral:rRNA from 1 species
UACGGAGGGUGCAAGCGUUGUCCGGAUUUAUUGGGUUUAAAGGGUGCGUAGGUGGUCGAUUAAGUCAGUGGUGAAAGCCAACAGCUCAACUGUUGAACUGCCAUUGAUACUGGUUGACUUGAGUAUAGAUGAGGUAGGCGGAAUUUAUGGUGUAGCGGUGAAAUGCAUAGAUACCAUAAAGAACACCGAUAGCGAAGGCAGCUUACUAAACUAUAACUGACACUGAGGCACGAAAGCGUGGGGAGCGAACAGG